rnacentral:lncRNA from 1 species
UUCUACUCUCACAUCCGGAUCGAACUUUUUGUAGAAAAAAGUGGUGUAGAGUGUCCUUUAUAUAUAUAUAUAUAUAGUACUUUGAUCAUAAUCUCAAGCUAAAACUUCAUCUUUGUACAGUACAAUAUGGUUGGAAGAACAAGGCACCACGUCAAAGAAACUGACAAAUGAAUAGAGAUGAAUGCGUGCAGGAUCAAUCAUUUGUGUUCUCACUUUGUUCGCCUUUCCUCUUCUCAACACUCCCAUCUCCCCCAACAGCUGUACUGAACCCAUUGUUGCUUCUCUUCUUCCCCAGCCACAAGGUCUGAUCUCCUCCCCCACUGUCUUGUCCUUUGUCUUCGUAGAGAGGGCCCUUCACAAACAGUAGUAACCUCUUCGGCACAGUCGGUCUCCUGUUUCAUCCCAAAGAAAAAGGCAUCAUUCUCUGGGAUAUGUAUGUAGACUCACUGCGCAGUGUUCCCAAGCUAAACGUAUAAAAGCUAGCCAACUGCAUGCAUACCAUGGGAGAAGACCUUCUUAAAUAAUGUUCUGAUGCUUGGAGGUUGUUACAUGUCAAAGUCAGUGGACAACGCCACCCAAACAGUUCACUUCUUUAACUUGGUUUUCGUUCCAAGUCAAUCUCUCAUACAUGCAAGGGGGAGUUCAGCCAUGAGAAGCAAAGAUGGCCACGAUCUUAAAUCU